UGUGACCUGACAAAACAGACCGGCACGCGUCAUCCAAUCCGCCGGUGACGGCACCGUCCGUUGCUUGGCCAAGUCCUCGACCGCCUCCCCUCCUCGGAGUGGGGGCUCGGGGUAAAAGAACCCACGGCGCCGAAGGCGUCAAGGAACACUGUGCCUAACCCGGGGGCAUGGCUAGCUUGCUAGUCGUCCCUCGUGUUGCAAAGCUAUUUAAUCCACACGACUCUCGGCAACGGAUAUCUCGGCUCUCGCAUCGAUGAAGAACGUAGCGAAAUGCGAUACCUGGUGUGAAUUGCAGAAUCCCGCGAACCAUCGAGUCUUUGAACGCAAGUUGCGCCCGAGGCCACUCGGCCGAGGGCACGCCUGCCUGGGCGUCACGCCAAAACACGCUCCCAACCCUCAUCGGGAAUAGGGAUGCGGCAUAUGGUCCCUCGUCUCGCAAGGGGCGGUGGGCCGAAGAUCGGGCUGCCGGCGGACCGCGCCGGACACAGCGCAUGGUGGGCGUCCUCGCUUUAUCAAUGCAGUGCAUCCGACGCGUAGCCGGCGUGAUGGCCUCAAAAUGACCCAGCAAACGAAGCGCACGUCGCUUCGAACGGAACCC
rnacentral:misc_RNA from 1 species